GGGAAAAGAAACAGAAGAACAGAGAGAAACUGGGAGAAACCCGGAGAGAGACCUUGGUGGCUAAGCAUCUUGCACAGCUUUCCCAUUCCUUCACAGCUGCCUCAAAGCUUAAAUCAGAUUUCAGCCUGGGGGACCCGACUGUUUUCAAAUUUUGGUUAGAGGAAAGGCAUACCCUCCCAGGCUUUUCCGAGUUAGAGAAGAGCAUGUCCACUCCACGUGCUCCACAGCCCCACGCAAAGGUGUUGUUUGGAAUCAGAGUUGGGGAAAUGCAAAGAUUUUAGAAUUACAGGAGCUGGGAAAAGACAGUAAAUACAGGGUACCCCACACCAAAUCAGAAGUUUAAAAAAAAAAAGACCUUUCGUUCGGUAAUUUUGGAGGAAACCUGGCUGUGUAAUUAUAUUUGCUCUUACAGAAGACGGCAUCAGAGUUCCCUUAUUGGUUUGAAAUUCCAUUAAAUAUAUUGCAAGAGCUCCUAGGUUAAGCUUGAUUUAAAUUUGCAUACAUUUUCAUAUAUUUAGCUGAAAUAAAAGAAGGCUUGCAGCUACCAGAAAGUCAUUAAGGCAUUAGUUUCUCUAAGAAGACAGAUCUGAAGAAAAUGCAAGCAAAUGAGAAAAAAUUUUAAAAGCAAGGGUAAAGAAAUCUUCUGCUUUGCAGUACAUAGUUCUUGCAACAUCCAUCACUCAUACUGGAGGUUUUGUAUGUGAAGUGACCUUACCAAGAGAGCCUGCCCUCUGCAAGAAGAUUUCCAAUAGUGGCUGUUGUUUUUGCAGUCCACUGGUAGCGCUCAUCUGAUUUCACUUGUAAAAUUAGGUAUUUGCUAUUUGGCUGACAAGAGUAAUGGUCUCCAUUGUAUAAUUGAACAAAAGUAAUGUCAGUUAAUUUGUCCAUUUGGAAAAAAAAACUUAUAUUCAGUAGCGUCUGGAUGUAGAUUAAAUGACCAUGUUACUAUCAUUAUAUUACAUGAUUUUCCCAUACUCUUGCCCUACUCACAAGUAUAUUUUAAUUAAAUCAGCAAAUAAAAACUUAAGUAUGUAUUAAAUAUUUUUCAGUAUCUGAGAGGACUAAUAAGAAUGACAUUUAGGAAUCUUAAAUUUAAUAAAAUUAUGGAGAAAAAUAACUUAAUACAAUAAAAUAUAUAAUUUGAAAAGUGUGCAGUGUUUUAAUGUAUAUGCAUAUCCCAGAUUUUACUCCAUUGAAGGAAUUUUCAGGCUUCUUGGAGAACUAAUGACAAUAUUCAUUUGUGUGGGGAUCAUAUUGGGGAUCCUAUUGGGAAUUCUGCUUGAAAACUCUUCUUGUUGAACUGGAGAAAUUUGAACAAUAACUAAAACAGCAACACUGCUGUCAAAAGAAACAGAUGGGGCAGUAUCUGAGGUCAUUUCUUACAGUAUCUAAAAUUAAUUUACAGUAAAAUACCUACCUAACUAGGGGCUAAUUUCUUUUAAGAAUUUCUGAACUGGAAAAUGAGCUCACCAGCUUCCUGCUUCAAAUUUCUCUUUGUAGAACUGAUCAAGCGGAGGGAUGAGUAUUAUCUGAAAUGUAGAUCUGGAAAAAGAACAUUAACAAUAAUGGCAUUUCUUCACGGUGCUCAAUUAGAAAUAUGAGUGUAGCAAGAAUGUGCGGCUAGUAGAUGCCUUCACAUACAACAGUCUGUCCUCAGUGGGGUCAUUAGAAGGUCAGAUGUUGUGCCUCCUUGGGACAUUUAGCACAAACUAAAUCCUUCUCUCCAACUUCUUGUCUUCUUUUACUUUCUUGGAGAUUGGUUUCUCCUUGGCAAAAGUCCAAAGUGCUAAUUUCAUAAGUUGAAGGCCCUUAAAAUGGAUUUUGAAAACAUAACUUGACUGCCAGUGGGUGAUUAAUUUGCCACUAGGGGUAGGUGAAGGACAAGAAACACUCAUAUUUUUUUCUCAAAUUAAAAAGAAGAAAUUGGGGCUUCUAAGGUGUAGGAUGAUCACAAUUAAAUUAAUGAUUUUAAAAGAACUUGAGGAGAGAGAGAAAGAGAGAGAGCAAGUUAGAAAGAAAAAUAUGUAAAAAAUAUUCGAUGGUCUGUGUUUAAGAUUUAUUCUUCCAAUGUAAAAUAAAAGGUUAUAUUAUGUUAAUCAUUGUAUCAGCUUUUAGUAAUAUUGCAAAUGCUAAAAACACUUAUGUUUUUCAUUUUUUGCUUCCUGAAUUACUAUAAAGAUAUUUUGCAUAAGAAGACAUUGUUCUCCAUAUACUAAUGGUGUAUGAUGUAUCAAUAAUGCAAAUAAAAUUUUGGUAAAUAUAUGUGACUUGGAGUUUGGGGAAUUAUACAUUAUCAUAUUGUUAAAUGAGAAAUCAAUGAAUCUAGUACUAAUUAAAGAUGUAACCUAG